rnacentral:misc_RNA from 1 species
CCGAGUUGCAAGACUCCCAAACCCAUGCGUACCUACCUAUGUCGUUGCUUCGGCGGCGCCGCCCCGGGGUGCUCCGGCGCCCGGGGGCGCCCGCCGGAGGUCACAAACUCUCUGCAUCACGGUGGACUCUCUGAGGAAACAUACCAAUAAUCA